AAGACAUGGGCCUUGGAACCAAUGAAUCGGGGUAUUUUCUGAAUGUUAGACUCCAACAAUACCUUUUUCAUUCAAUGUAUUCAUAAAAUUGUUUGAUGGACAAUGAACAUUCAAAAGAUUGUUCAAAGGUUCCAUCGAAAUGCUAAACUACAGUGGCCCCUCUUUUAGUCCAAGUAAUUAGGUAUUUUAGAAACGAAAAGAGUGAAUGAAAAGCUAACCCAAG
rnacentral:lncRNA from 1 species